CGGCUUUAUUAUUUAAUCUUAAGAUUUUCGGAACUGAGUUGGGAUCCUAAAACACAAGAAUUUUUGCACUCGCAAUUCUAGCAUGAGGAUUGUGAUUUUAUACUUCACGGACAAAAUAUCCUCCUCCUAUACUUGUCUCCCAUACCCUCAACAACUAAACAAAACGGGAGUAAAAAGAGCUUGUCUGAGUAAAAUCAUUUUGACUUUCCAGGUUCCGGAAUCAAGAAAAAAAGAAACUAGUGCUUUUUUAUUUUUCUCACCCGAGGAGCCAAAAAAAGAAAAAGUUUCCAGGGAAGAAACCUUCACAGUCAGAAAUUAGUCCAAUUGGGCUAGUAAGCCCUGGAAUUCCAGCAAACAUAAAAGGGACUGGGAUGGAAGAAAGGACAGGACUUCGGGCUUUGUCGUCACCUCGGAGGAGACGCACAGGAAAAGCUUUGUUUCGGACUGUAGUUCUACAAGAGUUAUUGCAGUUAUUUUCGCAACCAUCACUUUAACAGUAACAAUAAUAAAUGCGAUGUUACCAAAGUUUUAGUUCUUCCUUUGAUUACUUCCAAAUCACCGUGGAAUACGCAUUUGAAUUACCCCAAAUUAAAAAGUAUAAAUGAUUAUGUUUGAACAGUGGGAUUUGGGGAAGCAAGUCGAACAAGGAUAUUUCUUUGUAAAAAAAUCUUUGUAUUUUUGCGAAAUCUUUUUCUUUCUUCCCCACCCCCAUUUCUUUGUCACUAUUCACUGUCUUUCAUCCACAAGCUGCCUGAUCCCCGAGUGCACCUGGUUCAUUUCUGACAAUUCCUCUGCAGAAAGCUUUCCGGUUUUCUGACACCCACUUCUAAUGAAAUGCGUGAUGUUUUUUCUUUACAACCUAACCACUGUGCAAAUGGAGCGGUUUUACAUAUUCCCCUUCUAAAAGGAGAGUACAAAAACCCUAGUAUUGCUUAAAAAAAUUUUUUUUAAGAUUUGUUUUUUCUUUACCUCACCCCGCCUUCUUGUUUUCCAUGUACCUAUCUCAAUUAAAGAUCUCUAUACAUGAAAUAGUUUGCUAGAUACAAAAGCUAAUUUAAAUAUUUUUGGUCUUUUUAGAUUCAAACUUAUUUUUUUCUUUUUCUCAUUUUUCUUUUUUUUUUUCUUCUUUCCCCCUUAUCUCCAUCUCUCUUCUCUCUGUGUCAGUCUCUCAACAGAGAAUUGCCCAAUUAACUUUUUUCUUCCCUGACUACGAAGACUUCAUUGGAGUGGGGAGGCAUAUCCAUCCAUUCAGUCUUAUCCUUGGCCACUUUUCCAAAUCACUGUUAAUCUGUGGGCAGGAGUAUUUGUAAAGGCUCCAGUGGCUUUGUCAGAGAUGUGUGGGAGCGUUGAGAUGAAUCUUUACAAUGAAUGUUUUGUUUUUGUCUCUGAACUCAUUUACUACUCUAUUUCCUACAGCAGCGAAAUCCUUUAAAAAUUCUG
rnacentral:lncRNA from 1 species